UUUGAUUGAUAUAACAAUACUUACACAACUAGUUUUGACAUCCAAACUAAUCAUUCUUUUUUUUUCUAGACAAUUCCUUGAAGGGGUCAUUACAUCUGGUGUAGAACAACUUUGCCACACUAAGUAGGAUCUCUUCUACAGUUAAUGUUUUACACACAAGGAUGCAGACACCUCGACCUUCAAACUUCAAGCCAAUUCAAGGCCAGUUGGUAAAUUGGAAUACUUUGAA
rnacentral:misc_RNA from 1 species